rnacentral:rRNA from 1 species
ACUCAAAUGAAUUGACGGGGGCCCGCACAAGCGGUGGAGCAUGUGGAUUAAUACGUCACUAACCGUAGAACCUUACCCAGGCUUGACAUCUGCCGAACCCCUCUGAAAGGAGGGGGUGCCCCGCAAGGGGAGCGGCAAGACAGGUGUUGCAUGGCUGUCGUCAGCUCGUGUCGUGAGAUGUUGGGUUAAGUCCCGCAACGAGCGCAACCCUCACCGGAUGUUGCCAGCGACGGGAAACCGGUCGGGCACUCUUCCGGAACUGCCCGUGCAAGCGGGAGGAAGGUGGGGAUGACGUCAAGUCAGCAUGGCCCUUACGCCUGGGGCUUCACACAUGCUACAAUGGCCGGUACAGAGGGUUCCGAGCCCGUGAGGGGGAGGCAAUCCCAAAAAGCCGGUCUCAGUUCGGAUCGCAGGCUGCAACUCGCCUGCGUGAAGGCGGAAUCGCUAGUAACCGCCGGUCAGCUAAACGGCGGUGAAUACGUUCCCGGGCCUUGUACACACCGCCCGU